UUUGAGAUCACCAAGCAUGCUUGAAUUAUACAUCAUUGUUUCUCUUACUUUUGUUUACUAACCAAAAGCAAAAAAAUAUGUCACUAACAUCUUUUGUUUGAAGCUUGAGUAUCAUCCAAGACACUUUGUGGGUUCUAUUUAGAUGAUCAGUCAACACAAGGGAAUGGCUUGAGAUACUUCCAACAGGCUCAAAUGGGGGUCUAUUCGUCAGUCAAAACGUU
rnacentral:lncRNA from 1 species